rnacentral:rRNA from 1 species
CUACGGGGUGCAGCAGUCGAGAAUCAUUCGCAAUGCGCGAAAGCGUGACGAUGCGACGCUGCGUGGAGGAUGAAGGCCCUAGGGUCGUAAACUCCUGUCAGGAGGGAAAAGCCGGCACUUGGUCAAUACCCUUGUGCCCCGAUGGUACCUCCAGAGGAAGCCACGGCUAACUCUGUGCCAGCAGCCGCGGUAAUACAGAGGUGGCGAGCGUUGUUCGGAUUUACUGGGCGUAAAGGGUGCGUAGGCGGCGUGCAAAGCUGGAUGUGAAAUCCCGGGGCUCAACCCCGGAACUGCAUCCGGAACUGGCAUGCUAGAGACCAGGAGGGGAGAGCAGAAUUCUAGGUGUAGCGGUGAAAUGCGUUGAUAUCUAGAAGAAUACCGGUGGCGAAGGCGGCUCUCUGGAAUGGUUCUGACGCUGAGGCACGAAAGCGUGGGGAGCAAACAGGAUUAGAUACCCUUGUAGUC